rnacentral:rRNA from 1 species
GCGAGUGAAGCGGGAAGAGCUCAAUUUGAAAAUCGUCUACCUAAGCGGGUCGACGAGUUGUAGCCUAGAGACGUACUAUCAGCUGAAACCUGGGUAUAAGUUCUUUGGAAUGAGGCAUCAUAGAGGGUGAGAAUCCCGUAUAUGACCCAAAGCUUUCAGCGUACGAUGUAUGUUCAUCGAGUCGAGUUGUUUGGGAUUGCAGCUCUAAAUGGGUGGUAAGCUUCAUCUAAAGCUAAAUAAUGGCGAGAGACCGAUAGCGAACAAGUACCGUGAGGGAAAGAUGAAAAGAACUUUGGAAAGAGAGUUAAACAGUACGUGAAAUUGUCGAAAGGGAAACGCUUGAAGUCAGUCACAUUGGCUGGAGAUCAACCUUGCUUUUGGAAGGUGUACUCUCUGGUUGAUGGGUCAGCAUCAAUUUUGACCAUUGGAAAAAGGUUAGGGGAAUGUGGCAUCCUUGGAUGUGUUAUAGCCCUUGAUUGUAUACAGUGGUUGGGAUUGAGGAACUCAGCACGCCGCAAGGCCGGGU